ensembl:ncRNA D1054.20 ncRNA
CUUCUUCUUCUUCUUCUUCUCCAUCUUCGGUCGCGGUGCUUUUGUAGUCUCUUGCGGAACGCCCUCACAGAGGACGCGCCGCGCCGCGAGACGCCGGCGUGCGUCGUGAGCACUGCUUUUGGAAGCGAAAAAACCGUUUGCUCGGCGAGCCACACUUUUUUUCGACGGAUAGACGGGUCGCCUCGCUUUCUUGUU